rnacentral:lncRNA from 1 species
CCCCGCUUCAGCUACUCAGCAAGCCAUUCAAAUGCGUGGAGUUCAGCAGAAAGUCACACAAUCAAGCUGCUGCCACAGCUGCUGUUACUAGGCAAUUUCCGUGGCGACUGCUAAAGCCGGCUUGGAAUGCAUUCUCCAGUCUUUAGCGGUUCGCUGGAAAUCAGCAGUCUUCUUGGGGGACCUUCUGGAGGAGUCUCCUGACCUCCCAGUUUUUCCAUCCGCGUGAGGAGGAGGGAGCUCAGCCCUUGCCUCCUGGAGAGCCUUUCCCAGUACAGCCUCGUGACCCCUCCCAGCAGCUUUGGCCAAGGGCACUUCAAAAAUGACCCAAGGAAGUAAAAUGGAUCAGAGAAUGUGGCCAAGGGAAUCGGAGGAGGCUCAGAGCAACAUUCCCAUCAUACCACAGAAAAUCAGGAAUCUGGAAGCAUUUCACGCUCCUUCUCACGACUCCCUGGGAGAGAGUACUGUGUCCAAGUCAAACAGCGCUCGGGAGCCUCCCCGGACCCCCAGCCGGAACUGGGGUGUAUUUCAGGGGUGGUAGGCCCCCUGCAAAGCCACCAGCCCGGGGAUGGAGCCGCCACAGGAGGCCACAGCAGGCAGCACUGUGAGGAAGCUCCACGGAAACUGAGGGCUCCGGCAGCCGGUCCAGAGCGCCAGGAAGACGGGAGGCUGACAGAGGGAAGUCUGCAGAAAGGAUACAAGCAUCUCUGUAGGAAGCUGAAGGAAGCACCUGGUUCCCUCCAAAGCAGUGGUCAGCCGGCAGGGGGAAGAAACCUUUCUUAGAAGCCCUUCUAAGGCUUCUAAGGGACUACUGUCCUAAAUCUUUGUGACGAGUCUAUUCCAAGGCUCCCAAAGUGGGAAUCCCCCCCGAGACCCUGUCACCCAGGCCUGUGCCUCUGAUCCAUCCUGGGCUCCUCGGUGCACAGGUACCAGGAGCAUCCCCAGUGGGCCGGUCUGACUCAUUUCCUCAGUCACCAGAAGAGGGAAGCCGGUGCUUCCUGUUGUCUCACUCUCCCCACUGGGCCCUCUCCAAGGUCGAAAGCCCACAACCAUCCUGAUACCCUCGCCGACAGCCACAGCUGUGUCCUCGGCCUCCCUUUUUACCAACCCACAUAAUGUCUACGGCUUGGCUGGGCUAUUUUUAUCCAGGUUCAUCUGGAUUCACGCUGCAUCAGAAUCACUAGGGGAGAAAGGCUAUUUGUUAACAAUACAGACUCCUGGCUCUCACCCCCAGACUCAGGGAAUCAGUCUCCAGACCUGGAGCCCUGAAUCUGUAUUUUUAAAGCUCCCCCAGGGGAUUCUGAGGCACAGCCUGGGUGGGACCUACCGAGCCAGGCCAACCCCAUCCAUUCCAGAUGUGGAAACAGGCCCCAGGGGGUGAGGUAUCUUGUGCAACCACUCAGCCUUUGGUGGUUGGAGCGGCCGGGUUCUUUCCUCCCCAACCAAGGUGAAUUCCCCCAUGAGACCCCGUCAUGCAGUCACAUGGGUCUGAUUCCCCGUGGUGCUCACCAGCAGCACAGGUUGGGGGAAGGAAAAGGACAAGUUGACCUUUAUUUAGCACUUGGGAGCUGGGCCCUGGACACACCCCAUUUACCCACACCCCUAUGGAGAUAUACAUAUAUAUGUAUUAAUAUACAGCUUUUUAGUCAUGCAAAAGGAGGACAGAAAGGACACCGCUUAGAAAGACUUUCCAUUUCUGGCUAACUGAGCAAUUUCUUGUUGCUGGAUGCAGUUUCCAGGCUCACUGCUCUAAGGCCUGUAACAGUAGAAAGUCAACACACAC